rnacentral:sRNA from 1 species
AGACCAGACGUGGACAGAGAAGCCUAUCGACAGGGCCUGGGGGAGGGAGGAGGCGGCAGGGCCGGAGUCCACCCAGGACAUCUGGUACCAGUGACCUUGUGGGGAAAGGAGCCAAGAACGGGGCGUCGGGGGGUCUGGGACCCCCCUGCCUGAGAGACACAGGAACCCUGGCCCCGUGUUGUGGACACAAGCGCCCAUCCUCAAGGUCCUGAGAACUCCUGAACUUCCAAAGCCCCAGCACUGAGGACCCACCCUCAGGCCCCCUCCCUCCAUCUCUGAGGAAGAGGCAGCGGGAGCCACAGCUUCCUCCUCCCCCCCUCCCUGCUGCCGUGGCUGAGCCGGGCCUGAGCUGCCUGCAGGUUGUCUUGGCAACAGGAGGUGGAGAGGAGAUGCGCCGAGGGAUGGAGGUGUAUGUCACCGAGGAGGCUGCUGCGCUCCUGCCCCACGCCCUGGGCCCUUGAAGCCUGGAGAGUCACCGCCGAGGGAUGAGGACGCGCCAGCCCGGGGGGACGCGCCAGCUGCUUUCGCGGCCCCAAGCGCGCAGCGCCCAGCAGCCGCGCCGAGCCUGACACGCUGUC